rnacentral:rRNA from 1 species
GGUUAAGCGACUAAGCGUACACGGUGGAUGCCCUGGCAGUCAGAGGCGAUGAAGGACGUGCUAAUCUGCGAUAAGCGUCGGUGAGGUGAUAUGAACCGUUAUAACCGGCGAUUUCCGAAUGGGGAAACCCAGUGUGUUUCGACACACUAUCAUUAACUGAAUCCAUAGGUUAAUGAGGCGAACCGGGGGAACUGAAACAUCUAAGUACCCCGAGGAAAAGAAAUCAACCGAGAUUCCCCCAGUAGCGGCGAGCGAACGGGGAGGAGCCCAGAGCCUGAAUCAGUGUGUGUGUUAGUGGAAGCGUCUGGAAAGGCGCGCGAUACAGGGUGACAGCCCCGUACACAAAAAUGCACAUGCUGUGAGCUCGAUGAGUAGGGCGGGACACGUGGUAUCCUGUCUGAAUAUGGGGGGACCAUCCUCCAAGGCUAAAUACUCCUGACUGACCGAUAGUGAACCAGUACCGUGAGGGAAAGGCGAAAAGAACCCCGGCGAGGGGAGUGAAAAAGAACCUGAAACCGUGUACGUACAAGCAGUGGGAGCCUCUUAAUGGGGUGACUGCGUACCUUUUGUAUAAUGGGUCAGCGACUUAUAUUCUGUAGCAAGGUUAACCGAAUAGGGGAGCCGAAGGGAAACCGAGUCUUAACUGGGCGUUAAGUUGCAGGGUAUAGACCCGAAACCCGGUGAUCUAGCCAUGGGCAGGUUGAAGGUUGGGUAACACUAACUGGAGGACCGAACCGACUAAUGUUGAAAAAUUAGCGGAUGACUUGUGGCUGGGGGUGAAAGGCCAAUCAAACCGGGAGAUAGCUGGUUCUCCCCGAAAGCUAUUUAGGUAGCGCCUCGUGAAUUCAUCUCCGGGGGUAGAGCACUGUUUCGGCAAGGGGGUCAUCCCGACUUACCAACCCGAUGCAAACUGCGAAUACCGGAGAAUGUUAUCACGGGAGACACACGGCGGGUGCUAACGUCCGUCGUGAAGAGGGAAACAACCCAGACCGCCAGCUAAGGUCCCAAAGUCAUGGUUAAGUGGGAAACGAUGUGGGAAGGCCCAGACAGCCAGGAUGUUGGCUUAGAAGCAGCCAUCAUUUAAAGAAAGCGUAAUAGCUCACUGGUCGAGUCGGCCUGCGCGGAAGAUGUAACGGGGCUAAACCAUGCACCGAAGCUGCGGCAGCGACACUAUGUGUUGUUGGGUAGGGGAGCGUUCUGUAAGCCUGUGAAGGUGGCCUGUGAGGGUUGCUGGAGGUAUCAGAAGUGCGAAUGCUGACAUAAGUAACGAUAAAGCGGGUGAAAAGCCCGCUCGCCGGAAGACCAAGGGUUCCUGUCCAACGUUAAUCGGGGCAGGGUGAGUCGACCCCUAAGGCGAGGCCGAAAGGCGUAGUCGAUGGGAAACAGGUUAAUAUUCCUGUACUUGGUGUUACUGCGAAGGGGGGACGGAGAAGGCUAUGUUGGCCGGGCGACGGUUGUCCCGGUUUAAGCGUGUAGGCUGGUUUUCCAGGCAAAUCCGGAAAACCAAGGCUGAGGCGUGAUGACGAGGCACUACGGUGCUGAAGUGACAAAUGCCCUGCUUCCAGGAAAAGCCUCUAAGCAUCAGGUAACAUCAAAUCGUACCCCAAACCGACACAGGUGGUCAGGUAGAGAAUACCAAGGCGCUUGAGAGAACUCGGGUGAAGGAACUAGGCAAAAUGGUGCCGUAACUUCGGGAGAAGGCACGCUGAUAUGUAGGUGAAGCGACUUGCUCGUGGAGCUGAAAUCAGUCGAAGAUACCAGCUGGCUGCAACUGUUUAUUAAAAACACAGCACUGUGCAA